rnacentral:rRNA from 1 species
AUUGAACGCUGGCGGCAUGCUUUACACAUGCAAGUCGAACGGCAGCGCGGGCUUCGGCCUGGCGGCGAGUGACGAACGGGUGAGUAAUAUAUCGGAACGUACCCAAGAGUGGGGGAUAACGUAGCGAAAGUUACGCUAAUACCGCAUACGAUCUAAGGAUGAAAGCAGGGGACCGCAAGGCCUUGUGCUCCUGGAGCGGCCGAUAUCUGAUUAGCUAGUUGGUGAGGUAAAGGCUAACCAAGGCAACGAUCAGUAGCUGGUCUGAGAGGACGACCAGCCACACUGGAACUGAGACACGGUCCAGACUCCUACGGGAGGCAGCAGUGGGGAAUUUUGGACAAUGGGGGCAACCCUGAUCCAGCAAUGCCGCGUGAGUGAAGAAGGCCUUCGGGUUGUAAAGCUCUUUUGUCAGGGAAGAAAAGGUCGUGGCUAAUAUCCGCGACUGCUGACGGUACCUGAAGAAUAAGCACCGGCUAACUACGUGCCAGCCGCCGCCGUAAUAC